rnacentral:rRNA from 1 species
UACAGAGGUCCCAAGCGUUGUUCGGAUUCACUGGGCGUAAAGGGUGCGUAGGUGGUGAGGUAAGUCGGAUGUGAAAUCUCCAGGCUCAACCUGGAAAUGGCAUUGGAAACUACCUUGCUAGAGGGUUUGAGGGGGGACUGGAAUACUUAGUGUAGCAGUGAAAUGCGUAGAUAUCAAGUGGAACACCAGUGGCGAAGGCGAGUCCCUGGAAAAUACCUGACACUGAGGCACGAAAGCUAGGGGAGCAAACAGG